AGCCACCUCAGCUAGUCUGCGCCUCCCCCACCCCGCCCUGCGGGCAACAGUCUCAGCGCCCAGGAGCCUGGGGCGAGAGAGAGAGGGAGGGAGUAAUGGGGCGGGUGUGAGGACACAGGUUCAUGCCUCUAUUCUUGUGAAGAGAACGGCAAGAUGUUUGAUGAAGAUAACUGGUGAGGACUUCAAUUUCCCUUCUCAUCCAAAAGACAGCCCAUUCCACACCCCUCCAUUACCAUGCUGUGGCAUUAGCUUCAGUGCCGACUCAGGGAUGAACAUCGCCUUCUAAGUAACCAGCACCACCUGCAGCAUUCCCAACUCAGGCUGGCCUUGGAGAGAAAAGGACUGGAACUGAGACCCACCCCCAACUGUUAAUGUAGCAUGGACCUCUGGACCAUUUUGCAGAUUUCUUUAGAUUCUGCAAUCAGACAGGCUGUAACACCUCCAGAGAAGUACCACUGCUGGGGAAGCUCAUAUAUGCUGGUUCAAACUGGAUUCUCCAGAGACCAACGGACAAAGAAAAUGGCUUUUGGAUAAACAGCCUGAAUUUAAACUGACUCAGAGGCAGGCCUCCUUUCUGAUCCAGCAAACAGAUAGGAUUGAGGCCCUCCUGCACAGAGUGUCCUUUCUGAGAAGGGUUGUAAGGAUUGAAGUUGAGGAGG